AGUGAACGCUGGCGGUAGGCCUAACACAUGCAAGUCGAACGGCAGCACAGUAAGAGCUUGCUCUUACGGGUGGCGAGUGGCGGACGGGUGAGGAAUACAUCGGAAUCUACUUGUUCGUGGGGGAUAACGUAGGGAAACUUACGCUAAUACCGCAUACGACCUACGGGUGAAAGCAGGGGAUCUUCGGACCUUGCGCGAUUGAAUGAGCCGAUGUCGGAUUAGCUAGUUGGCGGGGUAAAGGCCCACCAAGGCGACGAUCCGUAGCUGGUCUGAGAGAAUGAUCAGCCACACUGGAACUGAGACACGGUCCAGACUCCUACGGGAGGCAGCAGUGGGGAAUAUUGGACAAUGGGCGCAAGCCUGAUCCAGCCAUACCGCGUGGGUGAAGAAGGCCUUCGGGUUGUAAAGCCCUUUUGUUGGGAAAGAAAAGCAGCAGGUUAAUACCCCGCUGUUCUGACGGUACCCAAAGAAUAAGCACCGGCUAACUUCGUG
rnacentral:rRNA from 1 species